UUGUCACAGUCAUGAAUGUGGAUGCAGACAUGAACCACAUGGCAGUAACCAUUGUACGAGGGACAGCAAUUGCGCAAGUCUUCACUGUUCACACAGCAAGCCUAUUUGUUUAAGUGGAAAGUGCCAAUGCUGGAAGACGAUUAAUACUUUAACGUGCCAUAGUCGUCGUGAUCCUCAUCACCACUCGGAAGCCUGUCCUAAUACCUUCUGUGACUCUCCCUACAGUGAGACCUGCUUACACGGACAUUGCGUCUGCUUAACUAAAGGGAUAGUACAUACCCCUGCUUGUCAUUCGGAUACCGAUUGUAAAAAUAAGGAUUGUACAUCAAAUCAUAUAGCAGUGUGUUAU